rnacentral:rRNA from 1 species
UAAUACGUAGGAGGCGAGCGUUGUCCGGAGUUACUGGGCGUAAAGGGCCCGCAGGCGGUGGUGUAAGUUUGGAGUGACAGUGCUCGGCUUAACUGAGCAAGGGCUUCGAAAACUGCACGACUUGAGGGCUUCAGAGGGACACGGAAUUCCGGGUGUAGUGGUGAAAUGCGUAGAUAUCCGGAGGAACACCGAAGGCGUAGGCAGUGUCCUGGGGAGUCGCUGACGCUCAUGGGCGAAAGCCAGGGGAGCGAACGGGAUUAGAUACCCCGGUAGUCCUGGCCGUAAACGAUGACCACUAGGUGUGCGGGGUAUCGACCCCCUGCGUGCCGUCGUUAACACAAUAAGUGGUCCGCCUGGGGAGUACGGUCGCAAGAUU